rfam:Schistosoma haematobium scaffold163_108, whole genome shotgun sequence.
AUCCAGCUGAUGAAUUCCAAAUAGGACGAAAUACACCUCUUGGAU